UUUCCGUAGGUGAACCUGCGGAAGGAUCAUUAAAGAGAAUAUGCCCUUCGGGGUAGAUCUCCCACCCUUUGUUUAUAUUACCUUUGUUGCUUUGGCAGGCCCGUCUUCGGACCACCGGCUUCGGCUGGUCAGUGCUUGCCAGAGGACCCAAAACUCUUAUUAUUAAUGUCGUCUGAGUACUAUAUAAUAGUUAAAACUUUCAACAACGGAUCUCUUGGUUCUGCAUCGAUGAAGAACGCAGU
rnacentral:misc_RNA from 1 species